CAAGGUGUAGCUAAGAUAGAAAAGCAUUUCCCUUACACUGAAAAGUCCCCCGUGCAAGUCGGAGUACCUUGA
rnacentral:tRNA from 1 species